GAUGACCUCGGAUCAGGUANNGGAUACCCGCUGAACUUAAGCAUAUCAAUAAGCGGAGGA
rnacentral:rRNA from 1 species